rnacentral:rRNA from 1 species
UUCUCCGCCUAGAGCAGAGCUGCAGUCGAGCGCACUGGCCCAACUGAUAUGACGUGCUUGCACUGAUUUGACGAUGGAUUACCAGUGAGCGGCGGACGGGUGAGUAACACGUGGGCAACCUGCCCUGGAGCGGGGGAUAACAUUUGGAAACAGAUGCUAAUACCGCAUAAUAAUCAAAACCACAUGGUUUUGAUUUCAAAGAUGGCUUCGGCUAUCACUCCAGGAUGGGCCCGCGGUGCAUUAGCUAGUUGGUAAGGUAACGGCUUACCAAGGCGAUGAUGCAUAGCCGAGUUGAGAGACUGAUCGGCCACAAUGGAACUGAGACACGGUCCAUACUCCUACGGGAGGCAGCAGUAGGGAAUCUUCCACAAUGGGCGCAAGCCUGAUGGAGCAACACCGCGUGAGUGAAGAAGGGUUUCGGCUCGUAAAACUCUGUUGUUGAAGAAGAACGUGCGUGAGAGUAACUGUUCAUGCAGUGACGGUAUUCAACCAGAAAGUCACGGCUAACUACGUGCCAGCAGCCGCGGUAAUACGUAGGUGGCAAGCGUUAUCCGGAUUUAUUGGGCGUAAAGCGAGCGCAGGCGGUUACUUAAGUCUGAUGUGAAAGCCUUCGGCUUAACCGAAGAAGUGCAUCGGAAACUGGGUGACUUGAGUGCAGAAGAGGACAGUGGAACUCCAUGUGUAGCGGUGGAAUGCGUAGAUAUAUGGAAGAACACCAGUGGCGAAAGCGGCUGUCUGGUCUGCAACUGACGCUGAGCUCGAAAGCAUGGGUAGCGAACAGGAUUAGAUACCCUGGUAGUCCAUGCCGUAAACGAUGAGUGCUAGGUGUUGGAGGGUUUCCGCCCUUCAGUGCCGGAGCUAACGCAUUAAGCACUCCGCCUGGGGAGUACGACCGCAAGGUUGAAACUCAAAGGAAUUUGACGGGGGCCCGCCACAAAGCGGUGGAGCAUGUGGUUUUAAUUCGAAGCUACGCGAGAACCUUACCAGGUCCUUGACAUUCUUUGGCGCUAACUUAAGAGGAUUAAGGCGUUCCCCUUCGGGGACGCCAUUGACAGUGUGCAUUGUUCGUCGUCCGCUCCGGUCCUGGAGAAUGUUGGGUAGGUCCGCACGAAGCAACCUGUUACUAGUGCCAGACAUUCAGGUGGAACCUUAUGUGUGGGAACUUGCUGGGUACCUAUACCAGGUAGUAAUGGGUGCGCCAU